ensembl:lncRNA
AAAGUCCCAACCUAUGGUUCACAAUGCUCCCACAUAGGGAAAUAGAGCCUGUGAGAAGAGCCCUGUGGCUACAGGCUAUUCGGCGUGGGAGAGUUGGAAAUGUGGGGACCUGGUGUCCAAGCAGGAUACGCAGAGCUAUGUGUGUGGAAAACAUUUCAUCACAGGAGGAUGAUGGGGCUGACCACUGCUAAAAUAGCAGGAUCCUCAGCCACAAAAGGGAGAAAGCUGCCAAUCUCUGUGAGCCAGACAAGCUUUAUCAAGGCAGCCAUCUCACGGUCCCACAUCAAAUCCACAGCCGCUGCCCAGGCUGAAAAAACUUCUUUCAACGCCUGGUGCGAGUGCUGGCGUCCAUGACCUCUAGAGGCCCACAGGAGGGAGGGAGGGAUGAAGGAAAAGAAGAGAGAGAGAGAGAGAGAGAGAGAGAGAGAGAGAGAGAGAGAGAGAGAGAGAGAGAGAGACUUUUGUGAUUGUAAUGUUUACUGUAAAUCUUUUAUUGUUUCUUUAACUUUUGUUUAUUAUCUAUUUCACUUGCUUUGGCAACGUAACAUGUUCCCCAUUCCAAUAAUGCCCCUUAAAUUGAAAAUAUGAGAGAGAGAGAGAGAGAGAAUAACCCACACAGAGACUUAAUGCUGGACUCAACCGGUUUAGCUUUUUCAUUCAUUGCUCUCAUAGGACUAUCAUUAAUUGUGUAGUGGUUGUCAUUCUUUGUAUUUUAACUCCAUAGAAACACUACAAAUAUAGUGCAUUGGUGCAGAGUUUAAUCAAUGAAUUAUUUGAAUGGGAUUUGCAAAAGUGUGAUCAUUCUUAGUUUGGGGGCCUUGGUUGGUUGUUGGUUUUGGUUAAUAGGCUAGCGCUCUCUUGUGGUAACAAAAAUAAUGCAGUUGUCAAAAAAAAAGGAUGAUGUUUCACAGUAGCCUACAAGCAUAAAACCAUAUUAGAUAUUUGAAUUAGUCAGUACAUCGCUAGCAUUUAUCAAACAAAAUGACAGAUAGGCUGAUGGUGACAAACGUCUGUUUGUGUCAAUUAUUAAAUUACCCUGGGAUAAACUGUUGGGGAAAAAUAUAUUAUAGCAAAAGCGCUGUAGUUCUCUACAUUUUAUCCGAUUGAAAGAAAUCUAAAGCAUGUUCAAUCAAUUUCCUAGAGACCGUUGGGAAACACUAAGUUAAGAGGGCUGCUUCUUCCAUCAACAUAAAACAAAG